GAUGAAGAACGUAGCGAAAUGCGAUAAGUAAUGUGAAUUGCAGAAUUCAGUGAAUCAUCGAAUCUUUGAACGCACCUUGCGCCCUUUGGCCAUUCCGAAGGGCAUGCCUGUUUGAGUAUCAUGAACACCUCAACUCUCAUGGCUUGCCAUGAUGAGCUUGGACUUUGGGGGUCUUGCUGGCCUGUGGUCGGCUCCUCUCAAAUGAAUCAGCUUGCCAGUGUUUGGUGGCAUCACAAGUGUGAUAACUAUCUGCGCUCGUGGUUUCCAUAAGAUAACCUCCAGUGAUGGAGGUUCGCUGGAGCUCAUAAAUGUCUCUCCUAAGCGAGGACAGCUCUUUUAAUGUUUGAUCUCAAAUCAGGUAGGACUACCCGCUGAACUUAAGCAUAUCAAUAAGCGGAGGA
rnacentral:misc_RNA from 1 species